rnacentral:rRNA from 1 species
ACUUUCUAUCUAUAUGUCUUGACCAACUUACGUGCCCAGCAGUCGCGGCAAUACGUAGAAGACUAGUGUUAUUCAUCUUUAUUAGGUUUAAAGGGUACCUAGACGGUAAAACUAGCCCAAAUAGGGAACAGUUUUACUAGAGUUUUAUGUAAGAGGUAAAUGUUAGGACUAUUGGUGUAGAGAUGAAAUUCUUUGAUACUAAUGGGAUGGGUGGCGGCGAAAGCAAACCUCUAUGUAUAAACUGACGUUGAGGGACGAAGGCUCGGGGAGCGAAUAGGAUUAGAUACCCUAGUAGUCCGGGCAGACAAUUAUGAAUGUCAUAUGCUAGGUUUUACACUUGGUGUAUAAAUGAAAGUGCAAGCAUUCCACCUCAAGAGUAAUGUGGCAACGCAGGAACUGAAAUCAUUAGACCGUGUCUGAAACCAGUAGUGAAGUAUGUUAUUUAAUUCGAUGAUCCUCGAAAAACCUUACCACAAUUUGAAUAUUAUUUCUUUAAAUAAUACAAGCGUUGCACGGCUGUCUUCAGUUAAUGUCGUGAGAUUUUGGUUAGAUUCAUUAAUUAACGUAAACCCAUAC